AUGGCCGACGGCGCGCGGCAGGGCGGGAGCGGCAGGGCGGGGGCGGCAGGGCGGCGUGCUCCUACUGGUGCUGCCGAUGCGGGCGAGGGAAGAGAGGAAUCAGGAGAGGUGCUCACGGGCGGCGCAAAUCGUCUCCUUGGUGGCCAAGGGGCUCGCCGGGGCGGCAGGGAAGGCCGGCUGCAGGGCGAACUGGUAGGGGGCGCCGAGGGGAUCCGUUCCCGUGAGCGGCAUCCCGAGGAAGGCGCUGGAGUUGGCCGGAAUCGGGCGGUCAAUGGAAGGACGGGGGGCGCCGCCAUUGAAGCGAGGGGAUCAAAGGUCGAGGAGGCCCUCCGUGUAGGAUCUAGGACCAUCGCGGACGCGGCGGCGGCGCGCCCAAGCUCGGGCGCACCACUACAGGGCGGAGGGCCGGCGAGGGCCAGGCGGCGGGAGGAACGGCGGGGAGGGCAUGAGUAA
rnacentral:rRNA from 1 species